GAUGAACGCUGGCGGCGUGCCUAAUACAUGCAAGUCGUGCGAACGGACGAGAAGCUUGCUUCUCUGAUGUUAGCGGCGGACGGGUGAGUAACACGUGGAUAACCUACCUAUAAGACUGGGAUAACUUCGGGAAACCGGAGCUAAUACCGGAUAAUAUUUUGAACCGCAUGGUUCAAAAGCGAAAGACGGUCUUGCUGUCACUUAUAGAUGGAUCCGCGCUGCAUUAGCUAGUUGGUAAGGUAACGGCUUACCAAGGCAACGAUGCAUAGCCGACCUGAGAGGGUGAUCGGCCACACUGGAACUGAGACACGGUCCAGACUCCUACGGGAGGCAGCAGUAGGGAAUCUUCCGCGAUGGGCGAAAGCCUGACGGAGCGACGCCGCGUGAAUGAUGAAGGUCUUCGGAUCGUAAAACUCUGUUAUUAUUGAAGAACAUAUGUAUAAGUAACUAUGCACAUCUUGACGGUACCUACACAAAAAGCCACGGCUAACUACGUG
rnacentral:rRNA from 1 species